rnacentral:rRNA from 1 species
UAAGGAAUAUUGGUCAAUGGACGCAAGUCUGAACCAGCCACGCCGCGUGAAGGAUGACGGCCCUCUGGGUUGUAAACUUCUUUUAUCUGGGACGAAAAAGAUCAUUCUUGAUCACUUGACGGUACCAGAGGAAUAAGCACCGGCUGACUCCGUGCCAGCAGCCGCGGUAAUACGGAGGGUGCAAGCGUUAUCCGGAUUUACUGGGUUUAAAGGGUGCGUAGGUGGGUCUGUAAGUCAGUGGUGAGAUCUUCGAGCUUAACUCGGAAACUGCCAUUGAUACUAUAGGUCUUGAAUCAUCUGGAGGUGAGCGGAAUAUGUCAUGUAGCGGUGAAAUGCUUAGAUAUGACAUAGAACACCGAUUGCGAAGGCAGCUCACUACGGAUGUAUUGACACUGAGGCACGAAAGCGUGGGGAUCAAACAGGAUUAGAUACCCUGUAGUCACGCCUAAACGAUGGAUACUCGACA